GACGAACGCUGGCGGCGUGCCUAACACAUGCAAGUCGAACGGAGUGAGAUCCUUCGGGGUUUCGCUUAGUGGCGAACGGGUGAGUAACGCGUGAGAAACCUGCCUUUCAGUGGGGGACAACAGUUGGAAACGACUGCUAAUACCGCAUAACGUAUAUUAGGGGCAUCCCUGAUAUACCAAAGCUUUAUGUGCUGAAAGAUGGUCUCGCGUCUGAUUAGCUAGAUGGCGGGGUAACGGCCCACCAUGGCGACGAUCAGUAGCCGGUCUGAGAGGAUGAACGGCCACAUUGGGACUGAGAUACGGCCCAGACUCCUACGGGAGGCAGCAGUGGGGAAUAUUGGGGCAAUGGGGGAAACCCUGACCCAGCAACGCCGCGUGAAGGAAGAAGGCCUCGGUUGUAAC
rnacentral:rRNA from 1 species